rnacentral:lncRNA from 1 species
UGAGUCUUAUCAUUUGUUUUUUUAUUUUAGUAAACAUGCAUGUAUCCAAGACUAUUGACCAUAUCGUUUUGAUUGCUAUAUAAUUUAUCUCAUUGUUUAAAAAGUACUAUUAACAAUCAAUAACAAUUUCCACUUAAAUUAAGUGUCUUUGAUAUGUCAAUCAAAUUACUUUGUCUUAUGCAAUAGGCAACUUAAUACAUACAUAUUUUGUGGAACUGCAAAAAGAUACCUUACUACGUGUGAAGCAAUUAGAAGAAGAUAAAGAUACAGUAACGUUUUCUUCACAAGCCACAAACGAUUUGUCCUACGAUGGCUAUCGUAUUUACCGUCGAC